CGCGGUAAUUCCAGCUCCAAUAGCGUAUAUUAAAGUUGUUGCCGUUAAAAAGCUCGUAGUUGAACCUUGGACCUGGCUGAUCUGUCCUCCUAAUCGAGCGUACGGAUUCGGUCGGGUCUUUCCUUCUGGGGAGCCCUAUGUCCUUUACUGGUCGUAGCGGGGAACCAGGACUUUUACCUUGAAAAAAUUAGAGUGUUCAAAGCAGGCCUUUGCUCGGAUACAUUAGCAUGGAAUAAUAGAAUAGGACGUGCGGUUCUAUUUUGUUGGUUUCUAGGACCGCUGUAAUGAUUAAUAGGGAUAGUCGGGGGCGUCCGUAUUCAAUUGUCAGAGGUGAAAUUCUUGGAUUUAUUGAAGACGAACUACUGCGAAAGCAUUCGCCAAGGAU
rnacentral:rRNA from 1 species